rnacentral:ncRNA from 2 species
UUUAAAAACGGGCCAUCAGGUGCCCGGCUGGCUUUGCAGCUGCCCGGGAUAAACGGGAAUCAGGUGCGCGGCAAGUUGCCGUAAUGCCUGGGCUGCCCCCGCAACGGUAAGCGAACCCAAGAUUCACCCGGCCGUUUCACCCACAAACGGCCAGCCACUGAUGCGCGACGUGGUUUCGACCAAACGCGCGGACGCAUCGGGAAGGCGGUGUUUCGGGCAUCCGCGAAAUUUUUCACGGAUGCCGUGCGCAAGCCCGGAGACCGGCCUGUCGAUCCUGCGUGCC